rnacentral:lncRNA from 1 species
CCUCCUGCCAGUUGGGGAUGGCGGCCUCCUCAUGUGUGGACCAGCCCAGGAUGUGGCGCUUGAGGCUGCCGUCCUCGUUGCGCAGGAAGAAGGGGUUGGGCAUGGAGGCGUCGAGCAGCAGCAGCAGCUGCCGCGAGGUCACGAAGAGCGGGAAGCUCUCGUCGCGCACGUCCUGCAGCCGGUGCACGCUGGGCUCCAGGGGCCGGAAGUGGCUCGUGGCCUUGCUCGACUUGGUCAGCUCCACAAAGUUCCUCUGCACCUCCUGGCAGAGCACGUGGUUCUUGGUGACGAACACCUGCCGCAGGUGCUCCAGCUGCCCGGUCUCGGCCGCCUCUGGCUCCCCGGCCGGCCCCACGUCCGGCCCAGGCUCCCGCUCUGGGACCUCAGCGGCCCCAGGCCCGGCCCCAUCCUCCCCGUCGUCUCCGUCGUCCCCAGGUCCAUCGUCCUCCUCGGCCUCGUCUUCCUCCUCCUCCUCGUCCUCGGGCUCCUCGCCGUCCCCCUCCCCCAGGCCAUCCUCCUCAGCGGCGGUGGCGGUGGUGGCGGCGGCCCGGGCCGGCGGUCGGUGCCAGGCGUGCUUGGCCAGCAGCGGGCUGCCUGCGCGCUCGGCCUUGUCCCAGUAGGAGUGGAAGCGCUUCCAGAGGCGGUAGAGGCAGCAGGUGGUCUUGCCAGUGCCGCUGCGGCCAAUGAGGAUGAUGGGCUCGGGUGGGCGCGGGUUGAGGUCGAUGACGGCGUACUCCAGCUCGCCCACGCGGAAGGGGUACUCGGCGGGCGCCGUGGCGUCGCUGAUGAUGUUGAGCGCCAUGCUGGUGCUGAAGCUGUGGAACUUCAUGAUGUUGUACUCGGUGGCCACGGCGCUGGCAGGUGGGAAGUACUCGGGCAGCACGCGCUCGCGGCCGUGCCUCGGCCGCCUCCGUGUCCUCCACGUAGCAGCGCGGGAUGCGCUUCUGGAUCUUGAGGCCUGAGGAGAGCUGGCCUGUGUGGAUGCCCUUCAGCUUCUUGCGCAGGAUGCAGGAGAGGCCGCGGUUGUAGGCGGCGCAGAUGGCGCGGAUGGCGUCGUUGAGCUUGCAGUGGUCCAGGACCACAUCCCAGAUGCGGAUGAUCUCGGUGUAGACGCCGCCAGUGCGCUGGGGAGGCGGGGCGGCACGCGUGGCGGCGAUGAUCCUCUCGGGGUCCUCGCUGCAGCGCGGCGAGAAGUCGAUGGCCAGCUCCCAGAGCAUGCGGGCGCCCUUAUCCAGCUUGGCCUCGUAGAGCUGGAUGUCGCCGCGCAGGUGGCGCAGCCGCUUCUGCAGGCCCUGCGUCCAUUCGCCGUUGCCCAGGUGCUGGAUGGCCAGCACGAUCUUCUUCUUCAGCACCCGCGUCACCGCCUUGCUAGCCAGCUUCUUCAGCAUCUCCGAAGUGCACUCAAUCUCC